CUUAAAACUGUAGAUUCCAGAAAAGUCUGGGAAUCUAUAUUUUUAACAAUAGCUCCAGGUUAUUUUUAUUUUAGCAAGUUUGGGAAUCACUCAGUUAGCCCAAAGCUAUUUGAAAUUUAGCCUUAGAUUUCUUGAUAAUCAACUCAGGCCUGUACAAUCCAAACUGGUUUGACACACAGCUGGAAAUGUCAGUCAGAUCGCUGGGCCAGAUAAACUUGAAAUUGCCUUUAAGUUUUGACAGAAAAACAGCAUUCCAAACCAGAUUUAUAAACAAAGUUUAACAUAAUGGUUUGUGGUACAGAGAAGAAAAGAUACUUUAGUUUUCUAUUCCUUAGUGGUGAAAACUAAUGUAAUCUAUUCCAGAUAUUAAUUAAUAGGCUUGGGUUUGUGUUGGUCCUGCAAUUAACGU
rnacentral:lncRNA from 1 species